CAGUAGGCAAUGCCUUUCAACUUGCUCUACAAUUCAUCAGUUUUCAUUUAAACUCUAAAGCGUGUGGACUAAAAAUUGAAAAAAAAUUGAAAAAAAAAAUCUUAAAAAAGACGUAUAUAUUACUUGAAGAAAUGGCGUUCUUUAACUGGGAUAAGGAGGAAGAACCGCAAGUGAUUACCAGCUUCUUCGAUAGUUCGAUACUAACUUAUUUGUUGUAUUUGAUAUAUGCUGUGUUUUUUUUGUAUGCCUGGAAUCGAGUAGUGCGCUUUUUUGACUACGUAUUUUCUGGAUGUUGUCCUUGGGGCUUUAUUUCUUUUAUUUUGUGUUUUCUAAAGCCCAUGGACUUUCUCGAAAUUCUAAUUAAUUUCAUCUGGUUCCUGGCUGAUAUUUUGCUGAGAAUUUGGAAUAAUAUACUGGCCCAGGGCUAAGAAUGCACCAGAGGAGACAAUUGUUUGAUGUUUUCAAAGAUCAAUGUUUUAUUCAAGUUUUCAUCAAGUUUUCAAAGAUGAAUAUUGUAUUCAGUUUAUCUUUUUUGGAUUUAUGUGUAAUUUUAAAUUAUUAAAUAUGUAUGCAAGUUAA